rnacentral:rRNA from 1 species
GAUGAACGCUGGCGGCGUGCCUAAUACAUGCAAGUCGAGCGAACGGACGAGAAGCUUGCUUCUCUGAUGUUAGCGGCGGACGGGUGAGUAACACGUGGAUAACCUACCUAUAAGACUGGGAUAACUUCGGGAAACCGGAGCUAAUACCGGAUGAUAUUUUGAACCGCAUGGUUCAAAAGUGAAAGACGGUCUUGCUGUCACUUAUAGUUGGAUCCGCUCUGCAUUAGCUAGUUGGUAAGGUAACGGCUUACCAAGGCAACGAUGCAUAGCCGACCUGAGAGGGUGCACGGCCACCAUGGAAGUGGGACACGGUCCAGACUCCUACGGGAAGCGGCAGUCGGGAAUCUUCCGACAUGGGCGCAAACCUUGCGGUGGCACGCCGCGUGGGUUAUGAAGGUCUUCGGAUCGGAGAACUCUGUUAGUGGGGAAAAAGUUAAGGGUAAUAAACUGGGCACAUCUUGACGGUACCUAAUCAGAAAGCCACGGGUAACUACGUG